GGCUCAGAUUGAACGCUGGCGGCAGGCCUAACACAUGCAAGUCGAGCGGUAGAGAGAAGCUUGCUUCUCUUGAGAGCGGCGGACGGGUGAGUAAUGCCUAGGAAUCUGCCUAGUGGUGGGGGAUAACGUUCGGAAACGGACGCUAAUACCGCAUACGUCCUACGGGAGAAAGCGGGGGGACCUUCGGGCCUCGCGCCAUUAGAUGAGCCUAGGUCGGAUUAGCUAGUUGGUGAGGUAAUGGCUCACCAAGGCGACGAUCCGUAACUGGUCUGAGAGGAUGAUCAGUCACACUGGAACUGAGACACGGUCCAGACUCCUACGGGAGGCAGCAGUGGGGAAUAUUGGACAAUGGGCGAAAGCCUGAUCCAGCCAUGCCGCGUGUGUGAAGAAGGUCUUCGGAUUGUAAGGCACUUUAAGUUGGGAGGAAGGGUAGUAACUUAAUACGUUGCUACUUUGACGUUACCGACAGAAUAAGCACCGGCUAACUUCGUG
rnacentral:rRNA from 1 species